GGUCCUGGGGCAGAAAAGAUGUGGCCACUGAACCCAGGGCAUUGGAUGCCAAGAGAGUGACUCAGCUUUGCACCCCAUUCCAAUCUCAAUCCCUUUGGAAAGGGCUCAAAGCCAGAGUAGGGAAGCUUGCCUUCCAUUCCCACAGCAGGUUAGAGAAGAACCAAAAAACAGGAAAUAAUGAGGUCAGUAGGAAGACAGUGGGUGGCUGUGCAGGCCCCAGUACAAUGCGUUCAGCCUGUCACCAGGACCCAAAGCAGCCACUCGUCCUGAGAACUCCUUCUGUGACCAGUCUCCAGCAUGUGAGAGCAGAGCCUAGUCAAGAAAACUCCUCCAGUGACCUGUUUCCCUGUUUUGUUCUGGAGCCAGAGAAGAUGCACAUAGCAUGUGGGAGUAGAAGCAGCAAUGGAAUGAAAUCAAAAGACCUUUCCCUAAAACCCAAGGAAAACCAAGUGAAAGGGCAGCAAAGGACUUCUAUAAACCAAGACCUCCAAACAGAGCGCUUCAGGAAGCCCUCCCUACCCCUGCAAAGGCUUGUCCACCAGCUUCUCCAUCUCCCCCCACGAGGCAAUUGGGGUUAAGUGACUUGCCCAGGGUCACACAGCUAGAAACAGCAGGGACCUACUUCUUGGAGAAGCUCUCCUACCACAUGGGUGGAAGCAGCCUCUUUCCAUUGGCUGCAGCUGUAACUGGAACAGGCUGCAGCUUUUAAAAAAUACCAUCCUGGGACGAUUUCUUGCUCUUUCUGGCUGUGUCCCGAAGCACACUGUCCCCGAAGCACAGACAUUAUGAACUGAGCUUGUGUGGGGAAAAGUCUUCUCUCCCCCCACCUUUUAGGCCCUCUGCCCUGCCCCCCAAAAUGGACUUGGAGCUUUGUGCUGUUCAUUUGUCCAUUUUAGUUCUAGAUGCAAGUUUAGGUGGUGGAGUCCCUGGACCCAGGACCUCCAACCAUGUUUGGUCGAUGGUUGUCCUUCCUUCCUGAAGAGGACCAAAAUGACAUCACCGUGUUGGGGUCAAGGUGCAGUGUGUGCAACUGUGGCUGAUCAGACCAGUACGAGCUCUGAAGGCUCUACGACAGGUGCUUAAUAAAAACUUAAGGAACCGAAUUGAAUUCCCCUGGAGUCAGGGAUGUCUCCAAACAUCUCAGUUUCCCAAAGGGAGCUGUUAUCAAGAAAUUGAUCUAAGUCCUUCCAGAAGCAGCUUGGUGGUACAAGUGGAUAGAACACUGGACCUAGAGUCAGGAGGCCCCAAGUUCAAAUUCAGCCUCACAAAUG